rnacentral:rRNA from 1 species
CCAGCAGCCGCGGUAAUUCCAGCUCUAAUAGCGUAUAUUAAAGUUGUUGCGGUUAAAAAGCUCGUAGUCGAAGUUUGGUGGGUUCACUUUUGGUGCGCGAGGGCCUCCAUUGGGGGUUUUUCCGAGCGCAUCAACCCACUUCCCUAGUAGCGAUUCGGUCGUCUGGGGGUUUCCGUUGGGUUCCUGGCCGUUGGCCAUUCGCUUGGUCGCGGUCGGACUAUAGGGUCCAACAGGUUUACUUUGAGUAAAUUAGAGUGUUCAAAGCAGGCCCUUUUGUCGGGUCAUUGAAUACAUUAGCAUGGGAUAAUCGAAUAGGACUCGGGUCACUCAUUUGGUUGGGUUUGAAGGAUGCGAGUAAUGAUGAAUAGGGACAGUUGGGGGCAUUCGUAUUUAGCUGCUA